AGCAGCCGCGGUAAUUCCAGCUCCAAUAGCGUAUAUUAAAGUUGUUGCAGUUAAAAAGCUCGUAGUUGAACUUCGGGAUUUGCCCAUUGGUCAGGCUUAACUGUCUGCACUGGUGUGACGAGUUCCUACCUUCUGAGGAAUCUCCAUGUCAUUCAGUUGGUGUGGGGGGAAAUCAGGACUGUUACUUUGAAAAAUUAGAGUGUUUAAAGCAGGCGUCCGUCUGAAUACAUUAGCAUGGAAUAAUAAAAUAGGACGUCGGUUCUAUUUUGUUGGUUUCUAGGACCGCCGUAAUGAUUAAUAGGGACAGUCGGGGGCAUCAGUAUUCAAUCGUCAGAGGUGAAAUUCUUGGAUUUAUUGAAGACUAACUACUGCGAAAGCAUUUGCCAAGGAUGUUUUCAUUAAUCAGUGAACGAAAGUUAGGGGAUCGAAGACAAUCAGAUACCGUCGUAG
rnacentral:rRNA from 1 species